UAAUACAUGCAAGUCGACGCGGACCGACGGGAGCUUGCUCCCUUAGGUCAGCGGCGGACGGGUGAGUAACACGUGGGUAACCUGCCUGUAAGACUGGGAUAACUCCGGGAAACCGGGGCUAAUACCGGAUGCUUGAUUGAACCGCAUGGUUCAAUCAUAAAAGGUGGCUUUUAGCUACCACUUGCAGAUGGACCCGCGGCGCAUUAGCUAGUUGGUGAGGUAACGGCUCACCAAGGCGACGAUGCGUAGCCGACCUGAGAGGGUGAUCGGCCACACUGGGACUGAGACACGGCCCAGACUCCUACGGGAGGCAGCAGUAGGGAAUCUUCCGCAAUGGACGAAAGUCUGACGGAGCAACGCCGCGUGAGUGAUGAAGGUUUUCGGAUCGUAAAACUCUGUUGUUAGGGAAGAACAAGUACCGUUCGAAUAGGGCGGUACCUUGACGGUACCUAACCAGAAAGCCACGGCUAACUACGUGCCAGCAGCCGCGGUAAUACGUAGGUGGCAAGCGUUGUCCGGAAUUAUUGGGCGUAAAGCGCGCGCAGGCGGUUUCUUAAGUCUGAUGUGAAAGCCCCCGGCUCAACCGGGGAGGGUCAUUGGAAACUGGGGAACUUGAGUGCAGAAGAGGAGAGUGGAAUUCCACGUGUAGCGGUGAAAUGCGUAGAGAUGUG
rnacentral:rRNA from 1 species